rnacentral:rRNA from 1 species
GGGGGAUAACGCAGCGAAAGCUGUGCUAAUACCGCAUACGAUCUAAGGAUGAAAGCGGGGGAUCGCAAGACCUCGCGCGAGUGGAGCGGCCGAUAUCAGAUUAGCUAGUUGGUGAGGUAAAGGCUCACCAAGGCGACGAUCUGUAGCUGGUCUGAGAGGACGACCAGCCACACUGGAACUGAGACACGGUCCGGACUCCUACGGGAGGCAGCAGUGGGGAACUUUGGACAAUGGGCGCAAGCCUGAUCCAGCAAUGCCGCGUGCAGGAUGAAGGCCUUCGGGUUGUAAACUGCUUUUGUACGGAGCGAAAAGGUUCUCUCUAAUAAAGAGGGCUCAUGACGGUACCGUAAGAAUAAGCACCGGCUAACUACGUGCCAGCAGCCGCGGUAAUACGUAGGGUGCGAGCGUUAAUCGGAAUUACUGGGCGUAAAGCGUGCGCAGGCGGUGAUGUAAGACAGAUGUGAAAUCCCCGGGCUCAACCUGGGACCUGCAUUUGUGACUGCAUUGCUAGAGUACGGUAGAGGGGGAUGGAAUUCCGCGUGUAGCAGUGAAAUGCGUAGAUAUGCGGAGGAACACCGAUGGCGAAGGCAAUCCCCUGGACCUGUACUGACGCUCAUGCACGAAAGCGUGGGGAGCAAACAGGAUUAGAUACCCUGGUAGUCCACGCCCUAAACGAUGUCAACUGGUUGUUGGGUCUUUGCUGACUCAGUAACGAAGCUAACGCGUGAAGUGACCGCCU